rnacentral:lncRNA from 1 species
GCCGUAUAAGGAUCACGGGAUUACCACUCGACGCACUACUGGUGCGGAAGAUGUAGAUUUGCGUCGAUGCAGCGAAGAUGAUCAACGUAGUCGUACAUAGUCGAUCAACAUAGUCGUACGUAGUCGAUCACAUCAACGUCCAGCAGCUCGUCCACGUGCAGCAAGAUCGCCCUCGUGCCGCGGCUCGUCGUCGGCUCGUCGUGGCUCGUCGGCGGC